CCUACGGGAGGCAGCAGUGAGGAAUAUUGGUCAAUGGGCGGAAGCCUGAACCAGCCAAGUAGCGUGCGGGAUGACGGCCCUACGGGUUGUAAACCGCUUUUAUACGGGAAUAACGCCCCUUACGUGUAGCGGUUUGCAUGUACCGUACGAAUAAGGACCGGCUAAUUCCGUGCCAGCAGCCGCGGUAAUACGGAAGGUCCGGGCGUUAUCCGGAUUUAUUGGGUUUAAAGGGGGCGUAGGCCGCAUGUCAAGCGUGCUGUAAAAUGUCCGGGCUCAACCCGGGCCGUGAGGGGGGAACUGGAGGGCUUGAGUACGCGGAAGGCAGGCGGAAUUCGUGGUGUAGCGGUGAAAUGCAUAGAUAUGACGAAGAACCCCGAUUGCGAAGGCAGCUUGCUGGAGCGGAACUGACGCUGAGGCUCGAAAGCGCGGGUAUCGAACAGGAUUAGAUACCCUAGUAGUC
rnacentral:rRNA from 1 species